GCAAGCUCACCGCAGGGGAGCACUGUUCCACAUUGUCCUGGUGGCCUGGAUUCAUGCCGCGAUGAAACAAGGGAACUCUCUCCACAACCAGGUUCUUGUGCAAUUGCUGCUCACAAUUAUUGGUAUUGUGAAACGACCCUUGGUGCACACCCAUAAUCAUCUGCACUAGCUCCUCCUUACUUCCGGAAUUGCUCAUUUGACUGUCCCCCGAGUGCAGUAACGGCAAGUGGGAGUUUACGGAUUGGAGUACCGGCUUGUGAGUAUCUUGAUCCGCGUGAUGUGGUUUCUUAGCGUAAUUCUCUCCGGGUAUUGCAUUCUGAGAAAGGGAAUUGUUCAAGUGAC
rnacentral:lncRNA from 1 species